rnacentral:lncRNA from 1 species
GGGUCAGGAGACAACCAACCCUCGGGGGUGAGCAGAAAUCAAGCAUCAGCAGAGUGCGGUGUGCGGUGUGACCCCUAAGGUCAGCAGGACUCCUGUCAGGGCACCUGCAGGGACCAGCCCCUUGGUCCCCGCAACUUCAUCCAUGCAGAGAAGGGAGAUGCGCUCAGGACCUGAUAUGGUGAACCUGACCCAGAAAGAUACGGCAAGAAUAAGGUUCUGAUGAAGCCGUCGGUAGUGACAGAUAUGAGCACAGGAGACACUGAAGAUUAAAUACCUUCAUUGCUUACACAGAGUGCAAUGCUAGGGCUUAGCCUCAUGGCACACAGCUCGCACAGUCUAAAAAGCUACGGAUGAGAGUGGUAACACAGUGAGUAAUAUCAGGUGCCUUCUGCUCAGACUGCUACAAAGACAGUGCCCAGACAAUGGACCCUCUUCCUACAGUAUCACAUCUAGUAAGAGCCAUGAUGCACCAUUUGCCAGUAAAGACAAGGUAAAGGUCUCUAGAAAGGGAUCCUGAACAAAGGCUUCCCUCCCCU